AGUUAAAAAGCUCGUAGUUGGAUUUUUAAGGGUGUCUGCGUCAAGUGGCCUUUAGUGCCUCUAAUGUCGUAGACACCUCUUAUUUUGCCUCAGUGCUUGUUUGGGAUUCGGUUCCCGAUCAUGCUUCCGAGGCGUGUUUACUUUGAGAAAAUUAGAGUGUUCAAAACAGUUCGAUGAUUGUAUAUCAUAGCAUGGAAUAAUAACUGAUGACCUCGGUCAUUUUUUGUUGGUUCGGAUGGCUGGAGUAAUGAUUGAUAGAGUUAGUCGGAGGUAUUAGUAUUUUAUCGUUAGAGGCGAAAUUCAUGGAUCGGUAAAAGACUAACAACUGCGAAAGCAUUUAUCUAGGAUUUGCUCUUUGAUCAAGAACGGAAGUUGGGGGAUCGAAGACGAUCAGAUACCGUCGUAGUCUCAACUAUAAACUAUACCAGCUAGGGAUUGGCAAGCGUUGACUUGACCUUGUCAGAACCUUAUGAGAAAUCAAAGCAUUUGGGUUCCGGGGGGAGUAUGGUCGCAAGGCUGAAACUUAAAGGAAUUGACGGAAGGGCACCACAAAGUUGUGGAUCCUGUGGCUUAAUUUGACUCAACACGGGAAAACUACCAGGUCCAGACAUAAUAAGGAUUGACAGAUUGAUAGCUCUUUCUUGAU
rnacentral:rRNA from 1 species